AACAAACGCUUGGACGUGUCCCGCGUGCGACACUGCUAGAGGCUGGCUCGGGAUUGGCCCGCGGAGCGUGUGGUCCGCGAGCGAGGAACUCCCCACGCCGGCCCUCCUCCGCCCCCCGGGCCCCGGCCCCCCUCCCCUGGCGGCCGCCAGCCCCCUCCCCGCGCGCCCCGCCCCCACCCGCGGCGCGAACCGCCUGUGGAAUCGAGGAAUCGCGCGCGUGCGGCCCGGAGCCGCGGGGGAGGGACGCGAGGCUUCCCCGGGGAAGGCCUCGGAGCGUGGCGGUGAGGGGGGCGGUGUCAGGGAGGGGUUGGAGCCCGUCCUAAGGAAAACUGGGCCACGCACCAAGAGGAAUCCUCGGUGCGAACUAGUUGAUCGGCGGCGCCUGCUGCUUGUGCCGUGCAGCCGGUGUCACCUCAGGACAGCGCCUCGCGUCUGUGUACAGAGCGUGCUGCGGGCGCCUAGGGUAGUCCGAGGUCACCCCUCUCCGCGCCCCGCAGUCGCGCACGCCCCCACGCGCGGGGUGGGCGGUGGCCGGGGGUCGCCGAGUGGAAAGGCCACGCCCCCCCACGCCCGGGCUCGGCACGCUGCCCCUGGGUCGCGAACGCGCCUCCGCUCGACCCGCUUGGAGGACGUCGCUGGUGGCCCAGGAGUGAAGCCCCGGCGGCUGCCUCCUGAGAAAAGAUAGCCGUGUUUAAAGAGACUGAACGGGAUCUUUGCUUUGCCGGGCGUAUUUUGUGAUAAAAUACCACAAAAUGUUGAGACAAAAAUGAGUGGAAUAUGGAGACCGAGCCGCACAGACACGCAAUUGUAAGGAAACAUCUCGAACACCGAGUGCCAGGAAUAUCAACUGUCCGGGCCACGCAAGAGCCUGCUUUUUACCUGCCUCCAGCCCCCUGUCGUGCUGGUUUAAUCGCUGAAACAAAUGAAGUAGCAGGCCCUGGCAUAGCGCUUUGGGCCUUCGCCUUAUUAACAACUUUGUCAAGUCUCGCAUCGCGAUUCUGCCUUGUUAAUUUCCUUGUUUUUCGCUGUGGUUUUGGAGAAGCAAUGUUUUCCAUGAUCUCUCAGGCUAGCCUCGGAAUAAAACGUGGCAGAAGCGCUCCCGCGAACACAUACCCAUAUAUUUUAUUCUACCUAUUCCCUAGAGUCUGCUAACUUCAAAAGUCUAGAUACUCACACAGCUGUUUACUUGCAGCAGUAUUUGAAGAGAUAACCUUGGUGUCUAGAAAGGUCUCAGAAACUGGAGGUAAGAGACCUGGAUUCAAAUCGCGCCUUGGCCACUUCCCAAAAGGCAACCGAGAGCCUCUCUGAGCUUGUCAGUUUCCGCAUCUGCAAAUUAGUGGUGAUCAAACCUGUGGGGAUGAUUAUGUGAUAAAUAACAGUAACCUAGUUUAAAACUAGGCACGUUAUUGGAAGCUUUCAGUAAACGAAAUAAAAAGCCUUUUCGAGAGGGUA
rnacentral:lncRNA from 1 species